GAUGAACGCUGGCGGCGUGCCUAAUACAUGCAAGUCGAGCGAACAGACGAGGAGCUUGCUCCUUUGACGUUAGCGGCGGACGGGUGAGUAACACGUGGGUAACCUACCUAUAAGACUGGGAUAACUUCGGGAAACCGGAGCUAAUACCGGAUAAUAUUUCGAACCGCAUGGUUCGAUAGUGAAAGAUGGCUCUGCUAUCACUUAUAGAUGGACCUGCGCCGUAUUAGCUAGUUGGUAAGGUAACGGCUUACCAAGGCAACGAUACGUAGCCGACCUGAGAGGGUGAUCGGCCACACUGGAACUGAGACACGGUCCAGACUCCUACGGGAGGCAGCAGUAGGGAACCUUCCGCAAUGGGCGAAAGCCUGACGGAGCAACGCCGCGUGAGUGAUGAAGGUCUUCGGAUCGUAAAACUCUGUUAUUAGGGAAGAACAAACGUGUAAGUAACUGUGCACGUCUUGACGGUACCUAAUCAGAAAGCCACGGCUAACUACGUG
rnacentral:rRNA from 1 species